rnacentral:rRNA from 1 species
GACGAACGCUGGCGGCGUGCUUAACACAUGCAAGUCGAACGGAAAGGCCCCUUUGGGGGUACUCGAGUGGCGAACGGGUGAGUAACACGUGAGUAACCUGCCCUUGACUUCGGGAUAACUUCAGGAAACUGGGGCUAAUACCGGAUAGGAAUCCUUGCUGCAUGGUGGGGGUUGGAAAGCUUCGGCGGUUUUGGAUGGACUCGCGGCUUAUCAGCUUGUUGGUGGGGUAGUGGCUUACCAAGGCUUUGACGGGUAGCCGGCCUGAGAGGGCGACCGGCCACAUUGGGACUGGGAUACGGCCAGACUCCUACGGGAGGCAGCAGUGGGGAAUAUUGCACAAUGGGCGGAAGCCUGAUGCAGCAACGCCGCGUGCGGGAUGACGGCCUUCGGGUUGUAAACCGCUUUCAGCAGGGGCGAAGCUUGUGGUGACGGUACCUGCAGAAGAAGCACCGGCUAACUACGUG